UCUUCCUCAAGAGGCCUUGCAGGUGUGGCUGCUGUGUCACUCAGUAGGGUGGCAGAGAGUAGAGAGGCUUUGUCUAUACUCAGUGUUCUGACCUAUGAACAUCUGAAUGGUUAGUAGCCUCGCCUG